rnacentral:rRNA from 1 species
CGUAGGGAAACCGAGUCUUAACUGGGCGAAUGAGUUGCAGGGUAUAGACCCGAAACCCGGUGAUCUAUCCAUGGGCAGGUUGAAGGUUGGGUAACACUAACUGGAGGACCGAACCGACUAAUGUUGAAAAAUUAGCGGAUGACUUGUGGAUGGGGGUGAAAGGCCAAUCAAACCGGGAGAUAGCUGGUUCUCCCCGAAAGCUAUUUAGGUAGCGCCUCGUGAACUCAUCUUCGGGGGUAGAGCACUGUUUCGACUAGGGGGUCAUCCCGACUUACCAACUCGAUGCAAACUGCGAAUACCGAAGAAUGUUAUCACGGGAGACACACGGCGGGUGCUAACGUCCGUCGUGAAGAGGGAAACAACCCAGACCGCCAGCUAAGGUCCCAAAGUCAUGGUUAAGUGGGAAACGAAGUGGGAAGGCUCAGACAGCCAGGAUGUUGGCUUAGAAGCAGCCAUCAUUUAAAGAAAGCGUAAUAGCUCACUGGUCGAGUCGGCCCGCGCGGAAGAUGUAACGGGGCUAAACCAU